UACGUAGGGUGCGAGCGUUGUCCGGAAUUACUGGGCGUAAAGAGCUCGUAGGUGGUUUGUCGCGUUGUUCGUGAAAACUCACAGCUUAACUGUGGGCGUGCGGGCGAUACGGGCAGACUGGAGUACUGCAGGGGAGACUGGAAUUCCUGGUGUAGCGGUGGAAUGCGCAGAUAUCAGGAGGAACACCGGUGGCGAAGGCGGGUCUCUGGGCAGUAAACUGACGCUGGAGGAGCGAAAGCCGUGGGGAGCGAACAGG
rnacentral:rRNA from 1 species